GAUUAUAGAGAAAUCUCGCUCCAAGAUUACCCAGCAGAAGACACAUCUGGUCUGGUACAGAUCCUAUGUCAAUAAUUAAAACAUUGGAAAUAGAAACCAUCUUGGUUUAAGAAAUGUGCAGUGUUCUAAUUGUAGUCCUUAGCCAGCACUCUUGACGUAUGUGUUGAAGUGCCUGCUUUUUGAAAGGGGGUUUUCCCAGCAAUCCAUGCAAGUGACAAGUGUCCAAAUACUCUCUGAGAGAUGUUUUGGGUUUUUUGGUCAGUUUUUAAAGUUUGAUUAUCACCUGAAGCAGCACAAAGUAUAGUAACAGGGUCCUAUUCUAUGAGUUCAAAAUGUAGACAAAUGGUUUAAAUGUAAAACAAGAAGAAUAAAAUUUUUCUUGUGAUGAAAAUUAUUUGUAUGGGUUUAUG
rnacentral:lncRNA from 1 species